CUUCCAAAGGGGGAAGGGCCUUUACUUUCCCCCUGAGGGUAGGAAAAUCAUGAUCGGGAUAGCGGACGUAAAGCUAUUGAACUUAGGUAUGCUCUUUCCUUUUGUCGAAGUGGAAUUGUAGAACAGAAUGUGAUACGAUGAGAUAGAAUGCAAUAGAAAUAGAAACAAGGAUAGCGAACGGGUUACCUACUCCUAAGGGUCAAAGCAAGCCCUUUAAUUCAAUUCUUUAUUCUUACAUUAAAAUUCUUACAUUAAAGAAUGAAUAAAAUCUCCCCAAGUAGGAUUCGAACCUACGACCAGUCAGUUAACAGCCGACCGCUCUACCACUGAGCUACUGAGGAACAAGGGGGGAUUCGACCUCCUAGAGUUCAACUCCCGCUCUCAACCCAUGAACAAUAUGAGUCCGAAGCUUCUUUCGUAACUCCCAUAUUUUCUUCGUAGUGGCUCCGUUCCAUGCCUCAUUUCAUAGGGAAGCCCAAAGUGGCUCUAUUUCAUUCUAUUUCACUUCCUAGCACUUCCUAUCAUUUAAUAUCCAUCCCUUUGGUCUUAUUGACAUAAGAGAUGUCAUUUAUAGUCUAUCUCUUUCUAUAUAUGGAAAGUCAAGAAAUUCUCAUCGAAACAUCGAGAAAUUGUGCAUAUAGAAAACUCUAAAGAAAGAAAAAAAGGAGACCCAUGCCAUGAUUUUCAAAUCUUUUCUAUUUAGUAGUCUAAGUUUCUCGAUGAGGAUAAUUAAUUCGGUCGUUGUGGUCGGACUCUAUUAUGGAUUUCUGACUACAUUCUCCAUAGGUCCCUCUUAGAUCUUCUUUCUCCAAUCUUGGAUUAGGGAAGAAGGAGAUAUUCGCGACUACUGGCGUUUUCAUUAUGGGGCAGCUCAUGAUCUUCAUAUCGAUCUAUUAUCCACCUCUGUAUCUAUUCUUUCUUAGCUAAACAGGUGGAAGAUCUAUCCAAUUUGGUUAUAUUAUAUCAUGGACUCGAAAAACGGAUCUGAAUUUGACUGAAAUGCACGAUCUUCACAGGUAUCACUUUUCACGAUACCUAAAAGGUGGAAUAGCGAUUUUCGAACCAUUUCCUAUAAGAGAAUGGUUUCCAUUACUUUGAGAAAUGGAUUCUUAUAUCAAACUAUAGCUAUUGCAUUAAAGAAGAAAAGAAACUAAUAGAAGUCGAAGACGCGGAAUGAUAGUGAAUAGAGAGAAAGAUUCUUCUGAUUUUCUUGUUUCUAUCUACUAGACGCCGUAGAGAAUUGAGAAUUUUCAUGUCUUUCAAUUCUCGUACUCGUAAUUGGAAAGUUCUGGAAGGAGACCCAUCAUUUUGCAAUGAAAACAACAUAUAAAACUCUGGACAAUUUCGAAAUCAGGCCAAGCGUCUUAAUACAUAUGCAAAGAAAUUCAUUAUUGGCCCACCAUUGAUUAGAAGAUUUAGCUUGUAUGAAUCGCUAUUGGUUUGAUACGAAUAAUGACAAUCGUUUCAGUAUGUUAAGGAUACAGAUGUAUCCACAAUUCAUUUAGAGUUACUUAAUAGUCUAUUUCUUAUACCAUAUCUCUAUCCCGUGAAAUUCUCGAGCCAAAAGAUGGAUGCAUAUGCUGUGUUUCAUUUUGCUAAAUGAUAUCAAUUAAAUGGUGUAUCAAUUCCAUAAAUUGCAUAUAGCAAUAAAUAAAUCAGCAAAAUUCUUUCUAAUAUUUUAGAUAGAAGAAAUGUUUCUUCUAUCUAAAAUAUUAGAAAGAAUGUACCCUUCUAUCCAAAUCCAAUUUGCAUCGAUAAAAUAAAUCCAAAUUCCAGUAGUAGAUGAAUAAUUGCAAAUUUGUGUGUGUACGAGAUUAGAAUAACUUCAAAAUAACUGACAUAAUUUUGUAUUUUUCCUGAUCAGAAAAAUACAUGAAAAAGAAAGGAGGUAGAAAAUUUUUUGGAUUUAUGGUUAAAGAAGAAAAAGAAGAAAACAGGGGUUCUGUUGAAUUUCAAGUAUUCAGUUUCACCAAUAAGAUACGGAGACUUGCUUCACAUUUGGAAUUACACAAAAAAGAUUUUUCAUCGGAAAGAGGUCUACGAAGACUUUUGGGAAAACGUCGACGUUUGCUGGCUUAUUUGGCAAAGAAAAAUAGAGUAUGUUAUAAGAAAUUAAUCGGUCAGUUGAAUAUUCGAGAGCAGUAAUUUAAUCGUUCAAAUUUUUUUCUUGUUUUAUUAUUUUUUAGUAGUCUUAUAGUAGUCUUAGAUUUUUCAUUUUGAUGAGCCUCGCUUUGAGGAAUUCAUGGAAUAAUCCAUUUUCAUGGAAUAAUGAAUUAAGGAAGAAAGGAUAUGAGUCUACCGCUUACAAGAAAAGAUCUCAUGAUAGUCAAUAUGGGCCCUCAACACCCAUCAAUGCAUGGUGUUCUUCGACUGAUCGUUACUCUUGAUGGUGAGGAUGUUAUUGAUUGUGAACCCAUAUUAGGCUAUUUACACAGAGGAAUGGAAAAAAUCGCGGAAAACCGAACUAUUAUACAAUACUUACCUUAUGUAACAAGGAUAUAGAGAGAUUGUAGAAAGGGAUAGGAUAGUUAUUUUUGCAAGAGACUUGUUGUAAAUUCCUUAACUUAAGAAA